rnacentral:rRNA from 1 species
UACGUAGGGUGCAAGCGUUGUCCGGAAUUAUUGGGCGUAAAGAGCUCGUAGGCGGUUUGUCGCGUCUGCUGUGAAAACCGGAGGCUCAACCUCCGGCCUGCAGUGGGUACGGGCAGACUAGAGUGCGGUAGGGGAGAUUGGAAUUCCUGGUGUAGCGGUGGAAUGCGCAGAUAUCGGGAGGAACACCAAUGGCGAAGGCAGCUCGCUGGGACGGUACUGACGCUGAGGCGCGAAAGCGUGGGGAGCAAACAGG